UCGAGAAUCUUCGGCAAUGGACGAAAGUCUGACCGAGCGACGCCGCGUGCGGGAUGAAGGCCUUCGGGUUGUAAACCGCUGUCAGAGGGGAAGAAAUUUUGACUGAUCCUCAGAGGAAGGGCGGGCUAAGUUCGUGCCAGCAGCCGCGGUAAGACGAACCGCCCAAACGUUAUUCGGAAUCACUGGGCUUAAAGGGUGCGUAGGCGGUGCAGUAAGUCGGGUGUGAAAGCCCUCGGCUCAACCGAGGAAUUGCGCCCGAUACUGCUGUACUAGAGGGAGAUAGAGGUGAGCGGAACUGAUGGUGGAGCGGUGAAAUGCGUUGAUAUCAUCAGGAACGCCAGUGGCGAAAGCGGCUCACUGGAUCUCUUCUGACGCUGAGGCACGAAAGCUAGGGGAGCGAACGGGAUUAGAUACCCGGGUAGUCC
rnacentral:rRNA from 1 species